CCACAACUAUGAAAAUAUGGACAACCAUUUUAUAUUUUCGCUGCUAUAUAUUUAAUUUAUUUUUAUUCUUAUUUUUUUCAACUUUUAUUUUCAAUUCAGGAGGUACAUGUGCAGGUGUUUUACCUGGAUCUAUUGGAUGAUGCUGAUGCUUGGAAUACAAGUGAUUCCGUCACCCAGCAAGGUACAAGUGCUCCAUGGAGAAAAUGGUGAUUCAGCGCCUGAGCCAUGAAAUAUACAAGAUGAGCCUGGAGAAUCCUGCAGUUCUAGAAAGGUGCUCCUUGACAUCCUAUGAAAGAAUGUCCUUGAAGAAAGAUGCUAAAAUGUUCAACGAUUUUUUUAAAGCAGAAAGUCUGAAGUAGCUGCGUUUUUAUUUUAGGUUCAGUGGGUACAUGUGCAGGUUUGUUACAUGGAUGAAUUGCGUCACUGAGGUUUGGAGUACAAAUGUUUGUGUCACCCAGUAGUGAGCAUAGUAACCAACAGAUAAUGAAUAUCACUUUGGAAUAAAACAGCAAAUGAAAUUUUGGUUGCUAUAUCAAGUUCACUAUUCAUUCUUCUGAAAUAUCUACUGUGAUAGCAGUCUCCUCCAGUGUGUUUUCAUAACAGGUUUAUUUACCUGCUUUAUUACAUGACUGGUAAUAUUUGAUUGGAUGUUCGACAUUGUGGAAUCUAUGUCAUUGACACCUGGGCAUUUUUGUACUUUGGUAAGUACACUUGAGCUUUAAUCUGAAUUAGCAUUAAGUUACAUGAAAAUAGUUUAAUAGUUCGAUCUUUGGAGUUUCUAUCCUAAGCUUUGUUUGAUCAAGUAUACUAAAUGCUGCUUUUCUCACUACAUAGUUUUCUUCUACAACCUGAGUUUUUUUUUACUUCCCUCAGAUAUAAUUUUUCUUUUUCAUUUUUUAAAAUUAAAAUAUUUGUUCUUCAUUGAAUGUUUUAUACGUUUAAUAAGGCGUUACAAAGGUUACUAAAGUUUUCGUGUUUCAGUAAUUGGUAUGCCUGGACCAUGGAUGAUUUAUGAUAGUGGAUCCAUCAGAACUGCCUUAUUGUGAAAAAUCUUUAUUGCUUUUAUGGUUGAUUGUUUUUUCCACAUGGGAUAGUUAGCUUUCUGAGACAGGAGUUUUCUAAUUUCCAGAGCUGGGGUAUAAACCUGCUUGCCAACAUUCUAGCUUAGUGGCAGAACAAAGCUGAGUGGGUGUUUCAGUAUUUAAUGCAGUGCUUCUCCCUUCAGUCAUUUUUGGUGUUUCCAACUUCAAAGUCUCAAUUCCUUUAGAGAUUAAAUCUCUGAUCUUUCGUUGGAGAGAUUAGGGGAAGAUAUCUGUGCAGCAAGAAGCAGGAUAUGAUCUAAUUACUUUUUGUACAGGUUUUAAAGCAAGUUUCUUUUUUAGUGUCACUUAAAACGCCAGAUUUCCAAUACUUUAUCUCCACCUCCCAAUCCUUUAUCUUCACCUCCCAAUCUUUCUUGUACUGCUAUGGUAUCAAUCAGAUUAUUUCUUUACUUCCUGAACUGUUGGAUUUUAUGUAAUCCUGCAGAAACCCCUAUUUCAUUUCUUCUUGCCAAUCUGUCUUCUAGUAUCCAAACUGUAAUUAGUGUUAUCUUCCAUCCCAUGCUGUUUUUUUAUUAUAAGUAUAUAUUCUUUUUAUCCCUUUUCAAUCAAUUUGAUGUGGUUUUAAAAGGUCAUGGGGGUAAAUCUAAGUGCUCACCAUGUUUACCUAGAAGACACUUAUUUAUCUUUGCACCACAAGAUCCAGUUGCAAUGCCUAGUGUAAAUGUGGCUUAAUAAAUAUCUUUAGUUAAUUUGAUUUCAUGUGCUUUAAUGGAUUAAGAUAAAAAUAUUCACGACUAGGACAACAUGACUAUAAUAAUUGAAAAAUCUAGUCUGAGAAUCACUGUAAUUUUCUUGUCUAAUUAUGGCUCUCACAUUAUUUGGUAGACAAAAGCAAUAAAGCAAUUUCAUUAAUAAACAUUUCAUAAAUUGAAAAAAGUAUGUUAAAUUAUUACUUUUACUGAAAUUCCACAAUUAGUUUUUUAACCACGAAUGUAAAUGUAUUUGUGCAUGAAAAAUAAAUAUCAUUAGUUUGGUUCCACUAAUAUUUAGUUAGCAAUUGUUUUUUACUUUAGAUCACUUUUUUCUAUUUUUUCUAGCUUUAAGUUUGUUAAAUGUUUGGUUUUUAUUUCUAUUUCUGAGUUAUAACACAAUUAAGCCAACAUUUUAUAAUCCAUUAAUGAAAGGAUGAAAUAAUGAUAAAAUAGAUACAUAAUUCAAGAUGGUGUUAUUAAAUUAAGGAGUAAACGAAGCUUUACUAUAGAACAUUUUAUCUUGAGUGCUGAGGGAAGUGAAUCUGUCACUGUGAUGGCUUUGAACAAAUAACUAAAAUAAACAAAAAAAGUGAGUAUUGAAAGUAUGAAGAUGACUAUCUGAAAUAUGAAAUUUAUUGAGCUUACACUAUCUUAUUACCCAGUAGGUUGUCUUUUAUGAAUCUUCAAAUAGCAUCAUGAAGCAUCAAAGUUGAGAUUCUUUUUAAUAUAAUGCAAAGAGAAUACUCGAGGAAACAAAUAGUGUAUUUUCCAGAAGAAAAACAAAAUAAUGCUCACCCAUACAAAAAUGAUUAAUUUUGUUGCUAAAGGCAAGAGAAUGCCCUGGAACAGAAACAUCAUUCAAAGUUUUCCCACUUGUAGCAAAAACAACGUCUGAAUCCAACUACUUCUGAGGAGUUAGUAAAAUCAGAUACAAUAUUAAUGAAAAUGUUAUUCUCACAGAGAAAGCAGACUAGCUGUUGGCAAAAUUUCUCCAUCAAAUGACAGUUAGGCUUAAUGUAAUAUUAAUGCAUCUAAUAUGGAAAAGCAACUAUUAUUAUAUAUGUAUGCUAGAAGAUUAUUUAAUUUGCACUCGGACAAAAACACCAAUUUAGAGAAUAUAAAUUAACCCUUGGCAUAUCAGUAGUUCAUAUAAGGAGUAAAUGUGCUUAUGUUUUUGUUUUAUUCUUUUGUCUAUAUUCAGUGAUAGUCAGAAAAAUAUUUUUUCACUUAAUAGUUAUUUUGUGAAUCAUGAUACAAUCUUCAUGCAUACAAUACACGAGUGUCUUAAAUGCUAAUAUAUGUUUUCUUCAGUCACAGAAAAAAUGUGCUGGCACAAUGUUCCAUUUUUAUUUAUUCAAUUUGGAAAAAAUUAAUAAUGAA
rnacentral:lncRNA from 10 species